UAAUGUGAGAUUCCUUAGAAAAGAGCUUGGUAAAGUUUGAAUGUGAAUCAGAAAGUGUCAUAAAUUAGACUUUAAAUUAGGAUUUAGGUCAAAAUCUCAGGCUGACAUUUAAAUACCAAGUCAAUAUAGUUGUUCAUGAUGUUAUCAACAAACAUUUAAAAUUUUAAUUAUUUGAUUGAUGCUCUGACUGUUAAAAAAAUAAUGCGUCUUCAGUCUUCAAACACAAUCUUGUAUCAAGGUCGACUCGGGGAUCUGUAUGGGCAGGCAGUUCCUGGUGAGAAGACCCCAAAGGCACAUGGAUGAGCAUCGCGCCUGAAGCCACGGGGGUGUUCCAGUGGAUGGAGAAGACGCAUGACUUAAGGAGGGUUCAAGGUUGUGCGUGAAGCGGGAGAUCGUCCGAAGGAAAAGAACACCUGGUCCUGAGAGGAAGGAACAAAUUCUAACUUCGAUGUACAUGGGCUCUGGUCUUGGCAUCAUGGCAAAAGCUUUUCCAGCCCAAGAAGGGAGGAGCAUGGAGUCCUCACGGGGAACAGGAGCGUGGGUCCCUUCUAAAGGAUAGGGUUGCCUGGUUCUGUGGUCCAUCCUCCAGGGUACCUUGGUGGUGGUGGCCAGGAAGGAGCAGGUUUCACCGGCGGAGAACGAGGUUUUAAAGCGAAUAGACGUCUCCAUGAAUCUGCUAAAUCUUCUGCCUCCGGAUUUGUUCCCAAAUGGAGUGGCGAUCUCCAGAGGCUGCUGGAGCAGGGCUUGGAAGGAGACAGGUGGCCCUGGGAGCCCUGGUGACUCCGUGGAGAGCUUGGGAAGCGCUCGCGUUGGGCUGCAGAGGUUCACACUCUGCUGGUCUUCGGCACCCCGUGUUCCGAGUCACGGGGCUCCUUCCUGCCCUGUGUCCUUUCCAGAACACACAGCCCCCUGGGUGGGCCACCGGCUGUGGGCUGCAGACGCGCCUCUGCCCCGGCCCUGUCACAGCGUGGCCCCCUGGGGCAUGUUUGGAGGUGCUGGAGGAGGGGGCUGGGGGGGCCUCAGGUUCCCGAGGGCGCGUCCUUGAAGGGUCUGUGGGACCCUGGCCCUCUGCCUCGAGGUGAGCAGUCUGUGUAGACCUGAUGCUUGUGAGGCACCAUUCUUAGAUUUCUCUCACGUUUCCAGAAUAUUCUGUGUGAUUUCCGUUUUCCUGGAGAACAUCCGUUUUCCGUUACUUGCUUUGCAACCUUGUGCACCUCUCUGGUCUCUCAGCGUGACCGGGCUCAAUGCCUGCUUGGUCCCCCUUUCUCCUACGCUGCUCUGUUCCACGCAGGGGCUGUGAACUCUUGGUCAGGUUCCUCCGAGGCAAUCAGAGUUGGAUUCUUGCUGUUUCUGUUCUGCAAGAUGCCACAGGUGUGAGAGGGGUAGGAGAAGGCUGGGGCUCUGAGCUCCCCUUACCAUGGCAGCCUGAGCCAAGGAUGGCUUCUCUGUCUGUAAAAGCGGGUUUGUUAAAGGUAAGUGUGGAGCAUGUGGGUCCUCCUGGGAUCCGACCGCACUGCAGCGCCAAGGCGUCAGGGGAACUUCGAGGAGCACAAGUUGGAGGUUCUGAAGUUGCAUAUGGAACCGUGUUUCACUGAGUACAAUUACAAAGGAACAUAAUAUCUCAAUUUUUUGAGUCACAAUCUUAGGCUUAUUACUGUCAAAAAGCAAUUACAAGCUAUUUUUAUGCAGAGCUCAAACAUAAAAUUAAAGACUCAGAAAUGAAAGGGAAACAUUUUUAACCAUACAAUACAGUGCUCAUAACAAUGUCUAUGGAGCCAAAUGUGGAGCGGAGGAAAUAUGCACAUUCUGCAACCCAGAGAGGGUGUUGACGAAGAGGAGCUCGAGGAGUAAUUUAGGCCAGCUGCUGGUAGUAACCUUAUUUCUCUACUUGCUGAUAUAUCAUAGUGAGGGAGGAAGAUCACGUUGAAACACUUCAAAUUUUGAAAUAACCCAGCUUUUUUAGAACAAGGUCUUCAAUAGCAGAAAUGCCACGUGGGGCACCGACACAGCACGGUGGGUGGCGGGGACUCUGGUGCUGUGUCGGCAGGGGUGCCUUCAGACAGACGGGCAUCGGGCCCUGGUGCCAGGGGAUGUGCUGGAUCAGGUAAAGCCCCGAGAGGUGCCGUGUGCACACAGGGGGCGGAUCUUGACCCCAGGCUGCUCUUGAGCAAGCAGGGGCAGGGCGGAGCUCCUGGGAAGCCGUCGAGCCAGUGAGCCCAGUGCUGGUUGAGGGAGGGCCAGCUGGGGGCAGAUCUGGACACCGGCCUCGGGGCCGUCAUCGGGUCCACACCAGGGUGCCCACAGCCUUCUGCACAGCCCCUUGUGAAUUCACGGUGAUUCUCAGAGUCUGGCCUGUGGUGCCCUCAACAGCCUCUCACUGGCUGUGGGACGAUGACAGCCGGAGGUGGCUUGCAGGCACCACCUCCUCUCUGGACAUCCUCUGCCAGCAUCAGUUCUGCCACCUGCGGCACGUGGUCAACCAGAAAGGAAGGAGGCCGCACCCCUGGAGCUGGACAGAGCCUUCCGCCUGCGUGGCCCACACCCGCCAGCCACAGAGUCCCCGGGAAAGGGAACGGCACGCAGCGUCUGUGGGGAGGGCAGGGAGGCCGGCCUCGUGGCCCCUUUGCCCCCGCAGGCUGGGGGCGAGGCCCAUGGAGCAGGGGCAAGGUCCCAGAAGCAGGGUGCGCGUGUCCCCUGGGUGUCAGCCUGGGGAGGCCACCUUCCUGCCGACACCGGUUUCCUAGGGUUCCUGAUUACAGAGGAAGGUGCUCAGGCCCCUAGUUCCACAACAAGGGAGGUCAUGCCCACCUUCGGCAGCUUGGCAGGGAUCUGGGCUGUCCCCAGGGGAGGCGACCCUGCUAUCUCAUCCUCCCUCGGGGACUGGCCCACACUCGGCUCCUGGGCUGGAAGGAGAACAGAGGUUGGUGACCGGCCGGCAAUGCUGGGAGUCUCCACCUCUCAGGCCAUGGUGGCCCCCUGAGGAGUCGGUGUCCAUGGGCUGCAGUGUCCUGGGGUGCUGCUGGCUUGCAGGGCCACCGGGCUCCCAGGCAGUUCUGACUUCCGCAAGAGGAGCCGACUGCGGGCCUGGCCCUUCCCCGCAGGUCUGCUGCUGCUGAGAGCUGGGUUUCUUCAUGUGGGCCAAAUGCAGAAGAGUAUAGUGGGUCCGUGAAAGACCUCCUGGCCCAUCCUGGCCGGUCUGCACCUUAGCAGAGGGACGGCAGAGAAGGCUCUGAGGCCCCUCAGGAUGCCACUGCGGGAAGCCUCCUGGAGCAGCACAGCGUGGAGGGCCUCACUGUGUUCUGGGGUGUGCCCUCUGCUCUCAGAGCUCUGGGCCUGAGUCAGCUGGGGCCAGGCCUCGGGCUCUGCAGGAGGCAGAAAGAACCUGCUGUAUUUGGGUUGUGCUGGAUCUGUGGGCAUGUGGGCCCAGGCCGGCCUGGGUGGUGACGGCAAAGUGCGCAAAUCGUGGGGUGCCUGCAGGAGAGCUGCUCCCCUACGUCCACAGGGCCCCAGGCCCUGAAGGUGGUCGGCCCUUGCCUCUCCUGGUGCGCCCGGCCCGGGUCGGGCUCAGGUCCUCUGAGGGGUGGCCGGCCUCAGGGACCGCGGUGAAUCUGUCAGCCCUGCAUGCCACACAGGCAAGAGGCUGCAGGGCCCCAGGGCUUCUCAAGGCCGGGCUCCUGCACGGAAGAUCCUGCAGGACCCGCAGAUGGAGGCGUCCUGGAAACAAGAACACAGACCCCGAGCCCCGUCCACUGUGCCUGCUCAGCUGCUGGGCCCUGAAGUCCCCUCUGGGGAGGAAACCAGCAUGGGGACACUCCAGUACGCACGCAGUAGGAGGGCACAGCAGUGAGCCCAGGAGAGGGUUCCAACUCCACCGCCCACGCCACUUAGGAGCACACGGUGCCGCGUGGAGGUCGCCGCGGCCGCUCGCCUUCCCCAGCCGCCGUGCAGGUCCAGCCUCUGCAGGGGCAGCUGCGCUGAGCACCUUCGCAGAGCCACCUGUGUUCUGCCAUUGACGGGGUCCCCGACUUUCAUGGUUCUUAAGAGCACUUAAAAUACUGUUCGUACUAGCCAUAAUUAGCAAACAGACCACAGGAAUAAUCACACUCAUUCCCACAAAGAUUCCUUGUUUGCACAGACCAAUCCAUUACCUGCUUCAGUGAACCGUCCUGUGGUUAAUUUGCAGUUUUCACCCCUGGGUGAUGGAAACAACCUGCCCUCUUCCAGGCACCGUGGCUAUUGUUCUGAGUCCGAUGUAUAAUGCAUGAGAAAAAAUUGUUUGUCAAACAUUCCAGACAGGCCACUUAAAUUCUAGAUCAAUUGAUAACAUUCACACCAAGAGGCUGGAAUGAAAAGGGGCCGGGAGUUUUAUUUUUUGUCACAGCUUUAUGGAGACGAAAUUCGCACGCCUUCCACUUUGCCUGUUGGAAGUGCAUGAUGGGGUUCGUGCAGUCUCUCAGGACGAUGGGUGUCAGAGCGUCCUCGUCUCCUGACAAGGGCCCACACCCCGGCACGCUCUGCCUGGCCCCCGCCUCCUCCGCACCUGCACCUGCACUGGGGCUCGGGCUAGGUGCACACUCGGUGCAGGUGACGUGCAGGAGUCUGGGCUUUGUGGUGGCCUCCUUUCCCCCAGCCUGGAGGAGGUGGCCCCUCUCUGACACAGAUGGGCAUCUGGUGCUUUUGCUAAUAAUCCAUGUGUGUCUCUUGCAGUUUAUAGAUUCAUCAAUUCAUUUUGGCUACGGGAUCAUUCUGUCUUCCUAAAAAAGGUUUAGAAUGAAGUGAAUAUGCAACAAAUAGCUUUAUGAAGCCCUGAGUGGCAUCACUGCCUUCUAUUCCCAAGUCACCUCCAAACGGUCUGCGUCCCUGCAGUUUUUGCGGGCUGCUCCGGGGUCUUCCCGUCCUCAGCAUCUUUCUUUCUUGUGACUUUCUAACUUCUCAGAAGUAACGGCCACUUGGAGAAGGACAGAGUCCAGGUGGAAACUGUCCCCGAGAGGUGGGUGCAGAGAUUUGACCCGCAGCCUCGGGGCAGCUGAACACCCAGAGCCUCCACACCCCUGUGUGGGGCAGGGCACUGUGCCAUCUGGUGGGCUUUGUGGGCCAGCAGUGUGGCCAGCAGUGAGGCAGGCGGCUGCCUGGCACCAAGCCGUGACGGCCCAGGUGUCACCACGCCCUGGGCUCUUUGGGUUCCUUUGGGGGCUCUGCUGGAGCUCUGAGCCACUGGAGGGGCUGGAGAGUCAUAGUGGCCGUUUUGGCAGUGACUCCUGUCUGGACAGCACUGUCUGCAGGGCUUCUGCGGCCCUCCGCCUGGUCCUGCCACCUUUGGUACAGUUUUGGCGAGGUGGCUCCGGGAGGCUGUGUUCAGAGGCACACUCCUGCCACACCUGCAGGCACUUCUGACGUGAGGUGCCUGGUACAGUCCCCGACCGCCCUGACUGCUGGUGGCUCAGAGAGUGGAUCUGAGUUACCGGGCAUCGCGCUCAGGAGGCCGAGGCGUCCCGAGCACAGGCGUCGCACUCUGCCUCCCUGUGCAGCCGGUGCUGCUGAGGGGUUGUUCUGUUUGCUCAAGUGACAGU